rnacentral:rRNA from 1 species
UACGUAGGUGGCAAGCGUUGUCCGGAUUUACUGGGUGUAAAGGGCGUGUAGGCGGGUAUACAAGUCAGAUGUGAAAUACCGGGGCUCAACUCCGGGGCUGCAUUUGAAACUGUAUGUCUUGAGUGCCGGAGAGGAAAGCGGAAUUCCUAGUGUAGCGGUGAAAUGCGUAGAUAUUAGGAGGAACACCAGUGGCGAAGGCGGCUUUCUGGACGGUAACUGACGCUGAGGCGCGAAAGCGUGGGGAGCAA